AUAGACAGAAGACAACUUCCUCUCAACAAUCAUUUCCCUUUGUCAUCCUUUUCCUGGCUUCUGUUAAGGAAGGGGAAAUUGAAGUCAUCCAGCUGACAAUCACAGAUACCUCAAUGGGCUGCUGCCUCUACCUGCAUAGUCUUCUUCUGGUACUGGAACCACUCUAUAUAAAUUGUUGAUGAAUAAGUAUCCUGCUUGUAGAAACUCAGGCACCAACUGGAAGACCCAGAGGCUGUGGGUCAACCCACCUGCAUCUGUGACAUCACAGCUCUAUAAACAAUGUUUGUAUGUUUUUAUUCAGAAAACAAAGAUAUUUCUAAUUUAAAAAAAUUUAAAAAAACUUAAAGAAUGCUGUCUUUUAAAAAAUAUUUAUUUAUUGGCAUGAGUUAAGAAUCACCCAAAUUUCUUUUACAUGCCUAUAAAAAUGAUAUAAUUUGUUUUCUUUAAGUUACUGAUUUACUGUGUAAUAUUUAUGAAUUGUUAAAUAUUGCAUUGGGGUUGGAUUCCCAAUUUGAUUUAUUACUUUCCUAUUAUAUUGCUUAAUUUAGAGUAGUUUAUUUAGAUUGUCAUAUCUACAGCUAACUACAAUCAAUUCACUUCUAAUUUUGUAAAAACUUCAGCAGCUCUAAGGAUUGAGUUAGCCAUUGCCUUGUAAUUAUAACGGGUAACUAUCUUUUUGAUCCUUGACUUGGAAUGAAUAGUUGACACUGAAAUUGCUAAAGAAUAAUGUGGAAAAUCCCUCUCACACUGUUCACCUUCAUUGCUGUGGAUAAUCUUUAACAACUUUAUUUUCUCAGUUGCUCUGUUCAGGUUUUUUACCUCUUACUAUGUUAAUUUUGAUGUUAGUUUUGCUGUUAUUCUAGUACUUGUUGGUCUGUUUUACAGAAUAUGAUCCCUUUCAUUGCUAUUUCUAAAUUUAUCACAAAACUGUGAGAGAAAUCCAUUAUAAUUUAAUCAUUUUAUCCAUUACGAUGUAUGAUAUACCCUUUGUAAUGGUGAUGUCUUAUUUUGAUUAAACUUAAUUAUAUAUUUUUUUAUUUUGACUUCAUAAAAACCAUAUUUUGGAUUAUUCAUUACUUUUACUAAUUUUUAGCCCUGUAUUUUUUUCUGAAUUUUGAAAUUUAUUUUGAAAUAAAUAAUUUCCUUUUCUCA
rnacentral:lncRNA from 1 species